rnacentral:rRNA from 1 species
AGCGAACGCUGGCGGCAGGCUUAACACAUGCAAGUCGAGCGGGCAUCCUUGUGGUGUCAGCGGCAGACGGGUGAGUAACGCGUGGGAACGUGCCCUUCGGUUCGGAAUAACUCAGGGAAACUUGAGCUAAUACCGGAUACGUGCGAGAGCAGAAAGGUUUAUCUGCCGAAGGAUCGGCCCGCGUCUGAUUAGCUAGUUGGUGAGGUUAUGGCUCACCAAGGCGACGAUCAGUAGCUGGUCUGAGAGGAUGAUCAGCCACACUGGGACUGAGACACGGCCCAGACUCCUACGGGAGGCAGCAGUGGGGAAUAUUGGACAGUGGGGGCAACCCUGAUCCAGCCAUGCCGCGUGAGUGAUGACGGCCUUAGGGUUGUAAAGCUCUUUUCUUCGGGACGAUAAUGACGGUACCGGAGGAAUAAGCCCCGGCUAACUUCGUG